rnacentral:rRNA from 1 species
AGCGAACGCUGGCGGCAGGCUUAACACAUGCAAGUCGAGCGGGUGUAGCAAUACAUCAGCGGCAGACGGGUGAGUAACGCGUGGGAACGUACCUUUUGGUUCGGAACAACCCAGGGAAACUUGGGCUAAUACCGGAUAAGCCCUUACGGGGAAAGAUUUAUCGCCGAAAGAUCGGCCCGCGUCUGAUUAGCUAGUUGGUGAGGUAAUGGCUCACCAAGGCGACGAUCAGUAGCUGGUCUGAGAGGAUGAUCAGCCACAUUGGGACUGUGACACGGCCCAAACUCCUACGGGAGGCAGCAGUGGGGAAUAUUGGACAAUGGGGGCAACCCUGAUCCAGCCGUGCCGCGUGAGUGAUGAAGGCCCUAGGGUUGUAAAGCUCUUUUGUGCGGGAAGAUAAUGACGGUACCGCAAGAAUAAGCCCCGGCUAACUUCGUGCCAGCAGCCGCCGUAAGAC